GGGGCUGACCGGCUUUGACAGGAGAGUAGUCGGUAAGUAAGCAUGCCGAGCUUUUGUUGCAUUGGCUCGUAAAUAUCAGUGCCUCAGCCAUAAAUGGCAACACUUCUUUAAGAAUGGCCGCCUAAUCGGGACGAUUAGCCGCCAUUAAUCUCCCGCAACGUGCUUUCGCCCAAUAGGCGCAGCGGUCGAGGUUUCAUCAAAACAUUGGGAUAGUGCGCGCAGAUACCUCGAUGCGCGUGCGAAACUGACCGGGGGUAAGGAAACAGUUGGUUUGUGCGUUCCUGCCGUUUCACCAAAAUGAAUACGUUACUAAGCAUGUAGAAAGCUUAUUGGAGCUUUUUCUGGACGAGGGUUCGAAUCCCUCCAGCUCCACUU
rnacentral:tmRNA from 2 species